AAAAACCCAAAACCUUACAUGACGAGUUCAUGUAUGAUAAAGUUUAAAUUCCUACCAAAGCCAUAUAUGAUACAUUUAGAGUUAGGAAAACCUUUGCGCAUUCGUGCUGCUUGCUUUACAUUGAGUUUAGUCAACCUUUGGAGUAUACCUUGUGAGAGUCUUGUCAUGCUUUUAAAAUUAAGAUCACUUACGCACUCCACCCACAUAUGCAUUACUCCUACUCUGAGAUGUAAGCGCAGUCAUUUCCACUUUCAUCCAGAUCCACCUUAAAAAAAUGUUUUCUCCUACACUGGGAGUAAACACAAAAAAAUACCCUAUAGGACAGCCCCCACUUAAUUGCUCUAAGUUUUUAUCAUCAUCUCUCCAAUUAUUUAUAUUCAAAGGAUGCAUGUGGCUAUGCAAAAGUAUUUAACAAGAAAAAAAAGAAAGGGAGUAAAAGAUGGACAAGUGUCCCAACAAUUAAAACAAUGGGUACAUCGAUGCCCGCGUCCCAUAGUAAUGAAAAAAAGUGAGAAAGAGAGAAUAAAGAUAGCCUGUGUUUUCCUGUGAAAAGUUCUAAGGAGGG
rnacentral:lncRNA from 1 species